AGCUCAAAUGUGUUCUCUGUGAAGCUUUC
rnacentral:piRNA from 1 species